rnacentral:misc_RNA from 1 species
GUCAAAUGGUUGUCAGAGAAACUGCGAAUGCUCGGCGGAGCAGUGUUAUUUGUUCAAUAUAUUAAGCCUUAAAAGAUAAGGAAAACUAGGUAUUUACAAUAAAAAAUGUUUUGAUGUUCGUGUAUGUAUCUUAAGGACUUGAAGUGUUACGCUGUAAAACUUUGAAAUAGAGAGUGAAGUGCUAAAAAUGUCUGCAAGUGAGCAGGAUUUCAGUGAAUCUUCCAACAUGGGUUCUCCAGGGUCACAAGGCGAUUCUCCUUACUCCUCGCCGUCUCAACAGGUGCCUCAUUUGGUGAAUGUCUUCUCUGGGAUCACAUGUGCUGACGAAAUGUCUUUACAUGCUGAUGGAAAGAGACCGUAUCUUCGCGUUGUGGAACAACCACAGAACUACUUCCGAUUCCGUUACAAGAGUGAGAUGGUGGGAACCCACGGUUGUCUUCUUGGAAAGUCUACUUCAUCUAACAAAACUAGAACUCAUCCCACUGUUGAGUUAAUGAACUACACAGGCAGGGCUUUGAUCAGGGUGAGGCUGACUCAAGCCGACAAGGAUGAAGAGCAUCCUCACAAACUCCUCGAGGAUGAGCAGGAGGACCGGGAUGUCAGCACCCUAGUGCCAGAACAGGGUAGCUACAAAGUUGGGUUUGCUGGCAUGGGAAUCAUUCACACAGCCAAGAAAGACGUCCCGGCAUUAUUGUUAAAAAAAUACAUGGAAAGGUCGCCAAACAUACCUGUUAUGGAUCUUCGGAUGCAUUGCGAAAACACAGCGAAAACUAUCAACUUGAACAUAGUUCGGCUAAGAUUCAGUGCGCACGAUCUGAAAACCGAUCAGGAGAUCUGCGCUCCUGUGUUCUCCGAUCCUAUUCACAACAUGAAAAGCGCAGCGACGAAUGACUUGAAGAUAUGCCGCAUCAGCAAAUAUUUCGGCAGACCGAGGGGAGGCGAAGAUGUCUUCAUACUCGUUGAGAAGGUUAACAAAAAGAAUAUAAUAAUCCGAUUCUACGAACUGAACGAGCAAGGUGAAGAGGUGUGGACAGCGAAUGGAAACUUCUUGCAGAGCGAUGUGCACCAUCAGUAUGCUGUUGUCUUUAGAACGCCUCCGUACCGGGACUUGAACAUAACCAAGAACGUGAAGGUGUUUAUCGAACUGGUUCGUCCGUCCGACGGGCGCACCAGUGAGCCCAAAGAGUUCGUGUACAAAGCUGAUCAGGUCAUCAAGGCUAAUAAACGAAGGAGGGUCAACUCGACGUUCUCAUCUUACGACAGCUCCUCGGGAGGAUCAAUUAAGAGCAUAGGCGACGUACCGACCACGGUCGAAAUGCUGAACCAGCAGACUGAAAGGAGUGAUCCCAAUGCAAACAUACCUGCGUAUCAAAUAAACUUCCAGAUCCCCCAACUACCGGUAGUUCAACCAACACCAAGCAACGACCUUGCGGACGCGCUGCUCUACGGCGCAGGCGCGCAGUUCACUCCGACCGUGACGCCUAUAAACCCCAUGCUCAGUCAGACCCACGUGCCGGAACCACCUAUCAUAUCACUCAACUCUGCAGAACUGGACAGGCUGAUACACGACCCACAGCUGCCACAGGAAGAACGGAAGAAGUUCUGCGAAAUGGAUUGGUCAGAAUAUAUGCAGUCUUUCGGAGAAAGCCUACCAGAUAAAACUCUGAAUAGUAUGGAAUUCUUACGCACAUCUAUGCAGUUGGUGGCUGAUUCCGGUAAAGGGAUGAGUGUGAAGAAGGAAGUAGUGUCACCAUCCCGCUCAUCGACGGAGGAACGCAAAACGAACAUAUUGGACAAAGCUAAAAGCAGCCAUAUGGGGUAUACGGCCGUAUACACUAACGAAAAUGGAACCGAAGUCAAACAGCUGGUGAAAGAAAUUUGCGAAAUAAUGAAGAACAAGAACGCCUACAAGAAACAAGUGGUGCGCGACAAACUGACGCGACUCUUCUCCAUGCGACUGUCCAAUGGCGAUACAUUCCUCCACAUGGCGUUGAGCAGUAACCAGUCAAGCUUGGAGUACAUGAUCAAACUGGUCCAUUCUAUGAAGAUGGUCCACCUCCUCAACCUGACCAACGAACUACAACAGACCAUUCUACAUCUCGCCGUCAUCAACGACUUGCCCAAACUUGUACCGUUCCUGAUAGCUCAUGGUUGCGACCCUAUGAUGGCUGAUGCGGAAGGGAAUAACGUGAUACACUACGCUGUGGUCUGCCAGAGCUGUUUGAAGCCGCUACUGGAAGCUAUCAAGAGUAACGAUGUCGCUUACGAUCUCGACGCUUACAAUAAUGAGAUGCAGACGGCGCUGCACGUGGCGGCGACGUACGACUCGGAGGCCAGCGUGCGGCUGCUGCUGCGGCACGGCGCGGGCCGCGCGGCGCGCGACGCCGAGGGCCGCACGCCGCUGCACCUGGCCGCCUACGACGACUGCCUCGCCGCCCUGCGGCCGCUGCUGCACCACACGCCCGCCGCGGACAUCGACUUAGUGGACGGGGCAGGCAACACGGCGCUGCAGAUAGUAUGCGGCAAACAGAACAUGGGAAAGAACAAAGAUUCCACCGACAUUUACCAACAAAAACAGACAAUUGUCAAACUGCUGUUGGAAAAGAAGGCGAAUCCUGUAAAGCACGAAGGCAGCAGCAUGUCGGCCUGGCAGCUGGCGCGCGAUAAGCCAGAACUCCGUGAGCUAAUGUCGCAGUACGCGCCGCCGGGGCUCCUCGAAGACGACGUCAAAUCCGAACCCGAGGAUGACUUCGAGUCCGCCGACGAGGGGGAGUCGCAAGAGACGUGCCUACAAGAGCUUCCGCUGUACAUAGCCGAGGUGUCGGCGCUGCUGGACGCGCGCGGCGCUUGGAGACAGCUGGCCACCAAGCUGCAGCUUGACGCGCUGCUGUCCUGGUACGGCAACACGCAGAGCCCCACACGGACGCUGCUGAGCCACGUCAAGGAGGCAGGCGACAACUUAACGUCGAAAUCGCUAGCGAUGUAUUUACAAGACAUGGGCCAGAAUGACGUAGCGGAUAUUAUACGGAGGUACAUCGAUUGACGAAGCAAGUGAGCCACCCCGUGAAGUGAAUAGUGGUGUAAUAAUUUUUACAUAAACACCUACAUAUUUUGUCGAACCUCUCAUCCGCUUAAAACUACUUCUCACAACCUGUAUAGCCGAGGAAAAGUAGCUAGACGUUCUUAAAAUAAAUAUUGGCCUCGAUUCCUGGAGACACAUCCUAAUUUUAUUUUAAGUUAUACCUGUCAUUUUUUUCCGCCUAAAAGGUAAAAUACUGUUAAUUUUAAAAUUAACGAGUUACCCGUAUGUGCAACCCGUUUGAUGUGUGCUGUCAAUUUAAUUCGGUCGGGUUAUUGGCUAAUAUAAAAUUUUGGAAGGGGUUUUUAAAUUUCUG